CACGGCAGCAGGAAGAGUGAGGACUGAGGAGACGUCACGUCAGUGCACUCAGCCCCUGCACAGUGCGGAGCCUUGCCGGAGCCAGAGCUAGCCUAGGAGGUGGAAAGUGUGCAACUUGUGGAAAAUGAAAACAUAUGUAAAGCUCCCUAGUCGUACAAGAACAGCACAGAUGUGGUGAACACGUGCCAUGAUGCCGGCAUCAGCAAGAAAGCCAUCAAGCUGCGCCCUAUUGCCGUAAUUAAGGGUUGAGAGCAGCCAGCAGGGGUUCCGGACUGUGCAGAGAAUUGACAUCAACACUUAGAAUCGGGUCACAUGACUGAUUUACGCAUCAUCGCUUAUCCUCAACCUGACCAUGUUUUUAUUCUAUUUUGUUUUUUCUUUCAUUUAUCCAUAUGAGGGUCAUAUGGCUGCUUCCUCUGGCAAUGAAUUGGCCAUGGAGAGCCGGGUAUCAGGUCCACAAGCUCUCCUUUCGCUAUGUUUGCGUUAGAAUUUUUUUCUGUUCGUUUUCCUUAUAUAGAUAAUAGAAAAGUUGUGAGAACAGGUCAGGUUGUCAGGAUCUCCUAAAAUAAAAACAGUGACUUACUCAG